rnacentral:lncRNA from 1 species
UGAUAGACCAUGGAAGUAUUAUAUUGACAGGAACUCCAACAAGCGGACUUCAAACGUUUAUAGUGCGAUGCCGCAAAAUCGUUAAGUAUCUGUUAAUUAACUCGACAUGUCUUAUGGAUGCAUGGGUUCCGAUCAAAUUUUUGGAACCUCGUGAAUGAUCGUAAUUACGGAACAUACCGAAAUAACCGGUGUGUACUUAAUUGUCAAGGGAAUGACAUUUACCGACAAUGUGAAUGACAAAUAUGUCAGUUUUUACGGGUUUUGCUGCUUAAAAACAAAUAAAAAGAAAAGAAACGAAAUCCCCGCGACUGUUUUCACCAAAUAAUAAAAAAAAAAAAAAAAUGAAGAGUAAAAAUACUCACAAGCCAUAAACAUUUCAGUUUAAGUUGCAAUCAAUUUUAAAAUAGUAAGAUUUUUAUUCAUGAGAGAGCAGUUGGCUAAACACGCGUAACUGUUAUAUACAUAUAUGCAUGUUAGGCUUGAAAAUCAUAAAAUUCUCAUGUAAAGUAAACGGAAAAGUUUUUAUCAGUAAUUAUUAUCGCGUUUUACUGCUAACUUUGACAAUGAAGUGUUUAAUGAAAGAAUUUCCAACAAAAAUUUAAUCCAAAAGUUGGCCGGGGGGACGGGGUUAAAGAGCUUUGAUCUGAAAAAAAUAUCACAUAUUUUGAUUUAUUGUUUACUGAAAGUCCAAUGGCAAAUAUUUCAUGCAAUUAAACAAGAAGCAGAAACAUAAAUUGCUUAGCAUACGGUGUAAGAUGUUUCAGAACUGUUAAGCUUUUAAACACAUAAAUAAAUUCUAAUUUGGUUUCCAUGAUAAAAAAAAA